AAGGAUAUAGUAUAAAGGUUAGUACAUGGGUCUUCAAAACCUGUGAUCGAGGUUCGAGUCCUUGUGUCCUUG
rnacentral:tRNA from 1 species